GAUCAUGGCUCAGGACGAACGCUGGCGGCGUGCCUAACACAUGCAAGUCGAACGGGACUUGCCCCUUCGGGGACAAGUUUAGUGGCGGACGGGUGAGUAACGCGUGAGCAACCUACCUUUCAGUGGGGGACAACAGUUGGAAACGACUGCUAAUACCGCAUAACACUUAUUUAGGGCAUCUUAAAUAAGUCAAAGAUUUAUUGCUGAAAGAUGGGCUCGCGUCUGAUUAGCUAGUUGGUGGGGUAACGGCCCACCAAGGCG
rnacentral:rRNA from 1 species